UACUAAAAGGUAGAGGUCAAUUUCUUUGG
rnacentral:piRNA from 1 species